GCAUCUCCCUUACACUGAGAAGUCACCCGUGCAAGUCGGGUCGCCCUGA
rnacentral:tRNA from 6 species